GAUGGGGUCUGAACUGAUGGUCUUGAGUGCAGGAGAGGCAAGCGGAAUUCCCAGUGUAGCGGUGAAAUGCGUAGAUAUUAGGAAGAACACCAGUGGCGAAGGCGGCUUUCUGGACUGUAACUGACGCUGAGGCUCGAAAGCUAGGGUAGCGAA
rnacentral:rRNA from 1 species